UUUAUUCUAUUUCAAAGUUGUAUGAAAAAAGAAGCGGCAAUGUUCCCUCCUUUUCUUUUUUGUGUUCUCAAGUCCCUCUUUUUAGUUGAGUAGUGCCGCCUCCCAUUUCUCAAUUCUCCUCCAUUUCUCUCUUAAUUCUUUGUGACAUUCAUUUCUCCAUCAAAUUAUUGCAACAGUUAGAUCUACUAUAUUGCUUCCAUUAAUAUCUUAUUUCUUUCUCUUUCGCACACAUAGAUCCUCUUAUUCAAUAAUGCUUAAUUUUCUCCGAAAUCUUUUAUUGAUUUAAUAGCAUAAAUGAUCAAAUCUGCGUGAUGGGCAUUUUAAGACGCAAAGCCGCUUCUGGCGCCUCCUUUGCUUUGAUACAAAUCCUCAAGCUAAGUUAAGAAAUAUUAUUUCUACUUCAAUUUUUUUUCUGUUGCGUCUCUCAUACGGAAUUCUUUUUCUUUCAAUUGUAGGGCAAUUAAAAUUUGGGUUCUCCAGAUGAUAUAUUACGUGUAUGUAUUUGUGGGUUCUUAUUGAUUUAAUUCUAUUGUAGAGUCAAAGAAAAAUUAAUAUUUAUUGUCUAACUUCGAGUAAGCAUCUUUCUACCAGUACUAAUUUGUCAUUCUAUUAUUUGCUUCACUAAUUAAAAUAUGAUAUGUCAUUUUUUGGCUAAAUCUUGUUCAUCAAAAAGUAUGUACUAAAAUUGUUUUUUUCUUCAACAGGUACAUGAAAGUGUAAAUUUAUUCAAGAGCAACUUUACCAGACAAGUGGUUACAUUAGCGUUUGAGGAAGCAGUUACUAAAAUUAUUUGUAUUUCGAUUCGACCUCAUGUUGUUGAAUAAAUUUUAUUUUGUUUCGGUGUUUUAGUUGACGGAGUUUGUAAUGAAUAUUAUCUCAAUGUAGUAUUAGUUCUUAAUUAUGUGAUCGUCGGUGAAAAUUUUUGUUGUUA